rnacentral:rRNA from 1 species
AUGCCGCCUAAGAAGUACGUGAUGCCACGCGCCGCGAUGGAUCCCACCGCCGCCGCCGCCCAGCCGAAGCAAAGGAAGCCGAGGGUUCCACUCUCCAAGCCCCCCGGCAUGACCAAUGCCGAGUGGAAGGCGGAUGUGGAGCGCCAGGAGGCCUUCACCGCCGAUAGGCGCAACAGGGCCAAGAAGGCGAGGGAAAAAGCGGCGUACGUUGCAGCGGCGGUGGCGGCGGAGCGUGUCGCCGAACAGGCGGAGGUGGCGCGCGCGGCGAUGGCAAAUCCACCCGAUGGGCACCCGUACGUGGCCUGGAGCCAGCAGAGCGUCGACUCUCCGGCCGGGUUCUCGUCGUCGCCGCACCCAUGGAGCACGCUGUUGCCAGGCUAUGCUGAUGGGGAUGCUCACGGUGGUUUCAACCCCAACAUCACGUUCCCCCACGGGCGUCGUUCCCAGCGCACGCCCUCGCCCGCGUUCGCCGGCCUGCAGUACCCGCCUUACACGUACUCGCCGCCGGACUACGCAGCCUCACCGACGCCCCCUCUUCGCCGCGGCCUGUACUCGCAAGCCUCGUCCAUGUCGCAUCUCAGCGACGCCGGCACGACGGAGGCCGACAUGGACGACAUCAUCGCAACCGGCUUGGCUGCCGCCGCCGCUUCCCCCGGAUUCACUACGCAGGACGGCUCAAUUGACCUCGCUGACAUGGACGGCGAGGAAGAGCCGGAGGAGGAGGAAGAAGAGGUGGAGGAGCCGGCGCCGACGAAGAAAGGCAAGAAGAAGAAGAAGAAGAAGAAGAUGGCGGCCAAGUCCGGCGAGCCGCGCAUCAAAUGGGCGUCCAAGGAAGAGGAGUGCCUCGCCGAAGCGUGGAAGGUCGUCUACCUCGACCCAGUCACUAGCACGAAUCAGAGCAUCGAGACGUACUGGGACCGCAUCAAGGCCGAGUUUGACGAGCGGAAGCUUGUCGACCCCUACUUCAAAGACAUGCUUGAUAUGAAGCAGGGGUCGAAGGGGAUGGCGAACCAUUGGUCACUCUUCCAAACGGCGUGCAACAAAUGGCAUGUGAUCGUCGAGGAGGUCGCGGCUCGCCCGAAGAGCGGCACCAGCGUCUAG